rnacentral:rRNA from 1 species
UGCGUAGGCGGGUUUUUAAGUCAGGGGUGAAAUCCUGGAGCUCAACUCCAGAACUGCCUUUGAUACUGAAGAUCUUGAGUCCGGGAGAGGUGAGUGGAACUGCGAGUGUAGAGGUGAAAUUCGUAGAUAUUCGCAAGAACACCAGUGGCGAAGGCGGCUCACUGGCCCGGUACUGACGCUGAGGCACGAAAGCGUGGGGAGCAAACA